rnacentral:lncRNA from 1 species
CAAUGAAGCGGGUCUUUCCCACGCUAAAAACCACUGAGUGGAGUAUUUAGUACACAGGAAGUCGGCCAGAGAAACAUUUCUCAUAUUUGAAGGCCGGGAAGAGGGACAUUUCUGACACCGGAAGUCAGUGAGAGGGCUCUUUCCCACACAGGAAGUCAGCUACAGAGCCCUCUCCCCUCUCUAGAGCUGAGAGACGCCGGUUUCCCCCGCCAUAGCAGGGCCAGGAGAAAGGGAUGGGGAGAGUCCCUCCUGCCACUGACCCAGGAUGGAUAAAAGUACCCCUUUCAUAGAAGGAAGAAAAUGGGAACAAAGGUGCUGCUGAUCAUCUGAGGUUGCCUGCAUGGCAGUUAAGAGCAUGGACCUUUGGGUAGCCCACCUGGGAGGAAUUUUCCUGAGAUCACUGUCUGAUGACCCUGUCUUGGAAUUGGAGCCAUCCAAGUUACACUGACCAUAUUUGGGUUGGGAUAUUGAGGAGGUUAUGGUUAAAAGCAUACGAUGGGAGAUGAUAUUGUACUUGCGAGUGAGACCUGGCUGGAGGAAUGUUUUAAUUCUUUGGAAAUACCAACUGGUCUCUGUCUCACAUGCGUGCUUCACAAUGGGGAAACUGAACUGGAACUCCACUGACAAUGCAGUUUGGAGUUCAAACUUAAUAACCUUC